UCUUAUGUCCGAGUGGUUAAGGAGACUGAUCAGAAAUCAGUUGAGCUCUACCGACUCAGAUUCAAAUCCUGACUGUUGCGGAU